rnacentral:rRNA from 1 species
UGAGGAACAUGACCUUCGGCGGGGGAUAGCCGGCCCAACGGCCGGGUAAUACCGCGUACGACCACAUGGGGACAUCCCUGAGUGGUGAAAGCAGCAAUGCGCCGAUGGAGUGCCUCGCGGCCUAUCAGCUAGUUUGGUGAGGUAACGGCUCACCAAGGCGACGGACGGGUAGCUGGUCUGGAGAGGAUGGCCAGGCCCACAGUUGGGGACUGAAGACACGGCCCAGACCUNUACCGGGGAGG